rnacentral:tRNA from 1 species
GCGGGCAUAGUUCAGUGGUAGAAUUCCAGCUUCCCAAGCUGGGCGUGCGGGUUCGAUUCCCGUUGCCCGCUCCA